rnacentral:rRNA from 1 species
GAGUUUGAGUCCUGGCUCAGAACGAACGCUGGCGGCAAAGCCCUAACACAUGCAAGUCGAGCGAGAUCUUCGGAUCUAGCGGCGGACGGGUGAGUAACGCGUGGGAACGUACCUUUGCUACGGAAUAGCCUCGGGAAACUGGGAGUAAUACCGUAUGUGACCCUUUCGGGGGAAAGAGUUUAUCGGCAAAAGAUCGGCCCGCGUUGGAUUAGGUAGUUGGUGGGGUAAUGGCCUACCAAGCCUACGAUCCAUAGCUGGUUUGAGAGGAUGAUCAGCCACGCUGGGACUGAGACACGGCCCAGACUCCUACGGGAGGCAGCAGUGGGGAAUCUUAGACAAUGGGGGAAAACCCUGAUCUAGCCAUGCCGCGUGAGCGAUGAAGGCCUUAGGGUUGUAAAGCUCUUUCAGCUGGGAAGAUAAUGACGGUACCAGCAGAAGAAGCCCCGGCUAACUCCGUG